rnacentral:lncRNA from 1 species
AUUUUUUUUCUGAACUCGGUCUGAAAGAAUUCCCAUGUAAUUUCUUCUUUCGGAACAACUGAAGCUUUAGUAUUCCACCAAUGGUAAGCUGUAUCUUUUAGCAGUGAGACGGCACAUUUCAGACAUUCUUCUGGUGUAUAAGAUAAUUCUUCCAGAACCCGAGUAGUGUUUUCUAACCAGAAUUCAGCCCGUUCGGAAUCAUCAUCAACUGCUGCUCGAAAUUCUUCGGCCCCAUAUUUUCAAAUUUUAUUUACUGGAGCUUUCCCUUUUCUGACAGAUUCAGCACCUGUACCUUUUGGGAUCUCGGGAACCGGUGGAGGAGCAGGAGGGGGAGCUUGAACUUGCUGCACUACAGGGUUAGUUCUUAAGUAUUGAUUAAACCAUUCAUUCAUCAUUUGAAAGAAGGCUGUUUUUGCCUCCUCCCCUCGACCCUCUGUCUCGGGCCUUCUACUGCUAGUUUCUUCUCUUUGUACUGAAGCCGGAGCAUGACUCCCAGCUUCUUCAGAUUGAGCUCGGUCGGAUGAUAUUACUAUAAGAAAAACACAUUUUAAAUGGUCAGGAGAUAUCACACUAUCAAUAAUAAUUUAAAUGGCAUGUAUAGCUAAUCUCGUAUUUGCUACAUCGGUCCUAGAACCGACUAAACCGUAGCUCUGAUACCAAUAAAUGUAAUACCCCUACCCGUAUUCAUUGCCGGAAUAAGGUACGAGGCAUUACCGGAGUUUACGAAUUAAAUUUUUUUUUAUAUUCAAUAUAUCCCUUUUAUAAAUAUCUAACAUUCCCUGUAAUAUUAAAUCGAGACCAAUCCACAUCAACCAAAUCAAUUCAACAUAUUUUCAUGAUAGAUUCAUGCAUUUAUAUAAGAUAACGUCAUCACAUAUCUAUAACCAGGUUUGUUAACCAUACUAAUGGCUAACUUUACAUUCAUUUCACGUUAACAUUUACUUUGUUAGCUUAUACAUGCCAUUGAUUUCCAAAAUAAAGUUUCUUUAUAUACCGAAAUCCUGAGGUUGACAGUGUGAUGUGUCUCCGACCAAAUCCGACCUCCGAGCUCUUAACACUACAAAAUAGGGAAAAAGGAAACGGGGUAAGCACUUUGUGCUUAGUAAGCUCAUGUAAAAAGAAUUAUACUUACCUAAUAUUUUUAAUACAAUAUAAUAAACAUUCAUAUAUCCAUUCAAUGCAUUAUUACCCUAACAUGCACAAACUCAACAUUCAAGUUAGUACAAUAAUUUCCAUGUAUCAAUAAUAUAUAUACCAUGAUUGAUGAGCUCGUCAAUACCAUGAUUUCCAUUUCCUUGUUAUUUUUCCAUAUUUAUCCCGUUGAAUUUAUCGGAAUUUCGAUGGAUUUUCAGAGGUACACAUUUAGUGUACAAUUUCGGGUCCGUCAAUUCAUAUUCAUAUGCGCACAUAUCUAUUUCAGAGAGCACACUCCCGCGAACCUCAACCUUGCAGCGGGAUUACCAGUCCAGACUAAAUCCCCUGCAAUAUAAACUCAUAGAGUAUUGUCGGGAUUACCAGUCCAGGCUAAAUCCCCUGCAACGACAAUUACUCUAAUGAGCUUGGAUCUGAAUUACCAGUCCAGGCUAAAUUCAGACCCUAAUUCGGAUUACCCGUCCGGGCUAAAUCCAUUUUACACAUAUUCUUCGGGAGGGCUAUAUCAGGAUUGGAUCACCCAUCCGGGCUUGAUCCUUUUUACCGUCAAUUCCUUUUCAGAGAUCCAUCGAAUUUUCCUUUCAUUCAACCGGGAUUUCUUCCUAUUUUAUCAAAUAUAUCAAUGUUUUAUUAAUUUUCAUACAAUGAACAUUCAAAUCAUAUUCACAUCAAUAACAUACAAUCUCAAGCAAUUUAUGAAUAUAAUUCAAGUUACAUGAACUUACAUUGAUACUUGUUUGUAAACAGUAAAAAUCUACUAAUCCCGAACUUUUUCCUUUCCUCGAUCUAGCUUCGUAUUUGAAUCUUCUGGAUUUGGUGCAAAAAUUAUGAAAUACCAGCUUAAAGAACCCUCCUAUGGCGUUUUUAGCUGCUGGAAUUGAAGAGAAAUGAAGAGAAAUCUAGAUAUUUCCUAUUUAGUCCUAGUUUUAUUUAGUUAAUUUUGCAAUAUUCCAAUUUUACCCUUAAUUUAUCAAUUUUUCUGCUGAUUUCAUACCCUUGCCGUCCAGCCCAAAUAACUUUUGGGUCUAAUUGCCUUUUAAAUCCUUUCUCAUUAGACUCUUAAGCUAUUUAAUCACUCUAGCAACUUUUACACCUAUUACAAUUUAGUCCUUUUCAUUUAAUUGACUACCCAAACAUUAAAAUUUCCUAACGAAAUUUUAAUACCACAUUAAUAACAUUUCAUAAAUAUUUAUAAAAUUAUUUUUGACUCAUUUUUACGAGAUAGAGGUCCCGAUACCUUAUUUUACCCAAUUUCUUUAAUAAUUUUUUUUUCUAACUAAUCACUAAAUCGAUAAAAUUUUCCUAUCAAUAUUUUCAUACAAUUUUCCUAUCAUAUCAAUUUUCAAGAAAAAAUAUUGAAAUAAAUUUCUCUUUAAAUCGGAUCUAUGGUUACGAAACCAUUGUUCCGAUAACCUUGAAUUUAGGCCAUUACAGUUUCAUCUUUGUUCUUCUUGGCCGAUUGAAAAGAGAGAAAAGGGGCAAACCUUCGGUCAUCUUAAGCUUGAAAAAAGGUUAGAAAAUUAUGAUAAAUUUUGAAAUGGUAGCUUAUUUUAAGUUAAUUACUAAGUUCUUUACUUAGCCCAUGUUAAAAUUUUGGAAUUUAGUAAUGAUAUGAGUAUACGGCUACAAGUGAAUUUUGUAGAGAAUGAAUGUUGUUUUCAAGUUUUAAUGAAAAAUUUGCAAAUGGGUGAUGUUUGAUAUAGUUUAAUGUUCAUAUUAGUAGUUGAGAUGAUAGAAAAAAAUUCGGCUUGUGUAGUUGUGAAACUUGCCGAAUGUGAACUAAUGUAAUCUUUGAGUAAUGUUUGGGUGUUAAAGUAAUUGAUGGCUUAGGUAGUAUCUAUAACUGAUUCGGUCAUGGUUUUUGCAUGAGUAUAAAAUAUAUAUGUUUUGGAAAGGGGAAUUUGGAUUGAUUUUAUUACAUGUAUUAUAAAUUAUGUUCGGCUAUGAUGGUAUAUUAAAGUAUAAUUAAUCCGUUUCGAUAGUAUUAUACAUGUGAUAAAUAAAAAUAAGUAGAAGUGUAUUGGUUAAAUAAAUAUGAUUAUUAAUUUACAAAUAUCGUAUGUGGUUUGUGAUUAGUUUAAUGAUUAAGCAAUCUGUUAUGUUUCGUUAAGGUUAAGUAUGUGUUUGGUAUAUUAGUAAGUAUAUCAUGUAUGCAUAUGAUUUGAUUUGGCUAAAUUUAAGUGGUAAACUUUAUAUUAAACUUAUUUAAGGGUACGGUCAUAAUAUACACAUUUAACAUGAAUACAUGUUAAUUCGGUCAUGAAAUUGAAUUGAAUAUGAAGGUUAAGUUUGCAUAGUUAGGGCUAACUAGGUUAUAUAUUAAUCAUAAAUAGAUCAUAUGCAUAUGAGUAUGUAUGUAUUUGUGUGCGGUAUUGCUGAUAAAUGGAAAUAAGCAAUGUGGUAAAUGAUUAAUUUGUGAUAGUCAUAUAUAGAGGUAUGAAUAUAUGUAUAUGUGUUUUAUGCAUGUACCAUGUACUUAUAGGGACAAUCAGAUGUAUGGUUGAAUUCAUGCAUAUGAAAACAUAAUAAGUUACAUAAAUCCUUGUUUGUGGAUGUGAAUUAGAUAUUGAUUAAAUAAGUAUGAAACCGAUUCAUGACAUAUUUUAUAAAAUAUGUUAUGUAUUGGAGUUUUAUAUGAUUUUCAAAUGUGACUACUAAGAAGUAAAAUUGAGUAAGUAAUUUAAAUAAAUCUAUUUUGUUUUAAUUAAGCUUAAGAGCAAAGGGGGUCUAAAUCAGAUAAAGGAAAGGAGAAAGCAGUUGAGUAGAUUAUCCGCAACUGUUCAAAAUAUCCGAGGUAAGUUUUAAGUAGUUUCCUUUAGUAUAUAAUUGACGAUUCCAUUAUAAGAGUAUAGUAGGUAAAUUGUGAUCUUUGGCUUGCACUUGAAUUAAGAUGUAUAAUAGAUAAUGCAUGUAUAUGACUUAUAGUUUGAUGACCACUUUGAAUUUAAGAUUAAAUGAUGAAGAGAAUGAGUGAUAUGAGAUAUAACCAUUGAGCUGAAAUGUGAAUGAUGAUGUGCGUAUCGAGUUUAUAUUCGAAUGUAAUAUACGAUUAUUAAGUGAUAAGAUGACUGCAAUGUGUUAUGAUCAAAUAUGUAUGAGAUUGAAAAUAUAUCCGGACAUGAAGUCCGCAGGCUAUAUGCUGGAAAAAUAUCCGGACAUGAGAUCCGUAGGCUAUGUGCUAGAAAUAUAUCCGGACUUGAGGUCCGCAGGCUACGUGCUGGAAAAAUAUCCGGGUUAAAAACCCGCAGGCUUAUGCUAGUAAUGUAUUCCGAGCUCUAAGAUUUGACAGAACCGAUGCCAGUAAGUUAAAUAAGAUUUCGACUUCGAAUGUCAGUGGUAAACAUCGUUGCGUAAGUAUUAUAUGUUUUACAUGUUAAGGUUCGUGUUAUGUGCUCAUAUUUGAAUUGAUUUCUAAGUGAUUUACUAGUAUCAAAGCACGAUAUAUAUGUGUGUGUGUGUGUGUGUGUGUGUGUGUGUGUGUGUGUGUGAAUGAAUUGGUAUUUGAGGUUUGGUUAAUGUAAGUCACCAUAUGAAAGAAUGUGAUUAAAGGUAUUAGUAUAAUCUAUGUAAAUAGUGAAACAUGUGCAAGAAAUCUUGUGUAUACAAACAUACAUAUUCGGCCAAGGGGUUUUGUAACUAAUGUACUGGUGUAUAUUUGGUCAAGUGAAUUACAAUUAGAAUACAAGUUUUGUGAAAAUCAAUGUUCAAUUUUAAUGACAAGCCUUAAUAGUAUGAAUUGCUUAAAACUUACUAAGCCUCAAAAGCUUACUCUGUUUCUUAUUUCUUUGUUUUAUAGAUUGUUGAUUUUGGCUAUCGACUCGGGGAUCGUCAGCAUUUCUUCAUACUAUCGAUCUUUUUGGUACAGUUAUAUUUUGGACUCGAUAUGGCAUGUAUAGGUUGGACUGUUGACAAAAAUAUGUUUUGUAAUUGUAAAUAUCUUAACCGUAUGAAAAUGACACUUAUGACUUAUAAAUCUGUAUGUAUUCAGUUCGAUUUAUACUUGUGUUGGUAGAUUAUGUGAUUGAUAUUAAAUGUUUAGCAUGGUAAUACCUCAUAGCCUAUGCCGGCGAUCGGACUCGGGCUAGAGGUGUUACAAUGAUAAUCAUAAUUUCAUAAUAAAUAUUACAAAUAAAUCAUUAUAUCAUUUCUAAUUCAACACUUAUCGAUUAUAAUCGGGCAUGUGAUCAAUUUAUACAUGAGUCAUUCAUAUAUAUAUAUGUAUAUUUUUCCUCCUCCUCCUCUCCAUCCACAUCCUUAGUAUAAACAACACACUUGUAGGUAACAUUAUCCAUAAUUUUCACUAUCUACUUAUGUGAAUAUUCAAGCUGCCCAUCUGUGUCAUAGUCACUAAAUUAUUUUUAUAUUGAGCUACAGAACUCAAAAUUAAGAUCCAUAAAUUUUUCCAGAAACUAGACUCAUGUCUUCUUACCAUAAAAAUUUCAUAAUUUUUUGUUGGGCCAAUUAAUACAGUUUAUUCAUUGAAGUCUCCCCUGUUCUGCUGCCUGACAGUUCCGAUCCUUCUUCACUAAAAAUUAAUUAUCUUCUCAUACAUGAUUCAAAUGAUGUCCUCGCUUGUUUCUAUUGAAAAUAGACUCAUUCAGGAUUCUAAACAUAUAAAUUUAAUCCCAUAAUUAUUUUUAUCCUAUUUUUUAUGAUUUUACAAAGUCAGAACAGGGGAACCCGAAAUCAUUCUGACCUUGUCUCACAAAAUUCAUCAUAUCUCAUGAUUUACAAUUCCAUUGCUUACAUUAUUUCUUCUAUAAGAAAUUAGACUCAAUAAGCUUUAAUUUCAUAUUUUAUUCAUCCUCUAAUUCAAUUUUUAAAUUUUUUUGUGAUUUUUCAAAGUUAGACUACUGCUACUGUCCAAAACAGUUUUAGUGCAAAAUGUUGAUUUCCAUUUUGCCCCAAAUUUCACAAUUCAUACAAUUCAGUCCUUGCUCAAUUAACCCCUCAAUUAAGAUAAUUUUAUCAAUUAAUACUUUUCCUAGAAAUUAUAAGUUAUUUCAUAACUAUUGAAAUUCAUAAUUUCCACAUAAAACUCUAACUUCAAACUCUUUUACAAUUAGGUCCCAAACAUUCACUUUCUAUUCAAUUCUUUCAAAAAAAAUCAGCAUAUAAACAAUUUGAAGCUUUAAUUCCAUGCCAAAUCAUCAUAUACUUCCAGCACAUAUUCAUAGCAACUUUCAAUUUCUUUCAUAGAAUCAAAAACUAAUGAAUUCAACAAGUGGACCUAGUUGUAAAAGUCAUAAAAACACAAACAUUUCAAGAAAUAAUCAAGAAUUGAACUUACUUGAAGUAAAAAUAUGAAAAACCAGCUUAAGGGAACUCUUCCAUGGCGUUUUUUCUGAUGAGAAUGCAGAAAAAAUAAAGAGAAAUCUAGAUAAUUCCACUUUAGUCCUAGCUUUUUUAAGUAAAUUUUGCAAUUUUCUAAUUUUUCCCUUAAUUCUCCUUAUUUUCUUGCUGAUUUCAUGCUCUUUCCGUCCAGCCCAAAUAUAAUUUGGGUCUAUUUUCCUUUUAAACCCUCUUUCUUUUAUUAUUUAAGCUAUUUAAUCAUUUCUCACAAUUUUGCAUUUGAUACAAUUUAGUCCUUUUUGUUCAAUUAACUAUCAGAACUUUAAAAUUUCUUGACGAAACUUUAAUACUAACUUAUUAACACUCCAUAAAUAUUUAUAAAAAUAUUUAUGGCUCGAUUUAAAAUUCCUGAGGUCUCGAUACGUCGUUUUCGAUUCUAAUUAUUUUAGUAUUUAUUUUUAGUACAUUAUUCACUAUUUCAAAAUUUUUCCUAAAUUCACAUUUAACUUAUACUCACUAAAUUAAUAAUAUUUCCUACUCAUUUGUCGGAUUUAGUGAUCUCGAAUCACUGUUUCGACACCACUGAAAAUUAGGCUGUUACAGUGUGGCCAUUUCGAAGGGCACACGGGCUAGACACAUGGGCGUGUGGUUGGCCGUGUGACCCAAGUCAGUAUGUAUGCCCUGUUUCCACACGGCCUAAGACAUGGGCAUGUCUGGAGCCGUGUGAGGCACAUGGCCUGUUCGCACGGGCGUGUGACCCUUGUAAGGUAGAAAAUUUUGCUAAGUUUCCAAAAUUUUCAUAUGUUAUCGGUUUAGUCCCGAACCACUUUUAAAGCAUGUUUAAGGCUCAGUAGGCCCUUAUAAGAGACAAUGUGAUUGUGUUGAAUGAUUAAUGAGAAUGAAUGCUUUAUAUUUGAUAAAUGUAUGCUAUAUGUUGUGAAUUGAUUAGUAAUACCUCGUAACCCUACUCCGGCGACAGAUACGGGUUAGGGGUGUUACAGAUAUGUUCAUGAUAUCCUGAGACAUCAUUCGUGUUGUCUUGAGACACCCUACUCUAACAUUCAUAUUUUUACCUUGAUUUGCUCGAGAUAUCCCUUCUAUGUCUCAAGACAUAAACCUACAUAUUAUUGUAACUACGUAAAAUCAAUGUUCCCAACAAUUAGAAACUCUCAAAAAUCAACGAAAUGAUAUAAAUAUGGCUCAAGGACACUUAAAUGAAGACAAAAAAAAAAUAAGUGUAGAACAAAAAUCUAAUCCUUUCACCUUGUUAUUCUUAUUUUCUAUUGUAAACACCUGUGGGUUCAAUUCUUAUUCAUUAAGUGUUGUUUUGUAAUUGUGAUAGCUUUAUCAUCGUAUAUUUAUAUUCUAGAGGUACUUAUUCAUUCUUAAUUGUUUUUCUCAAAUUUGUGAGAGGUUAUUCAAUGUUUUGGGUAAAAAAACUUAAGAGGAAGUGACUCUAUAUUGCCUAAUUGAAAAGAUAGUCAACAUUGUCUUUAAAAAAUUUCAAAUUAGUGGACAAAUCCUAUAAAUGAAGCAACAAUUAGAGAAUUAUGGAAUUGCCAUGGAUCACAUUCCCAUAAAAUGUGACAAUACAAGUGUUUUAUGUUUGACCAAAAAUUUAAUCCAAUACUCUUUUAAACCAAGCACAUAAAAAUUAGACACCAUUUUAUUAGAAAUCAUGUGCAAAAGAGUGCCAUAGUUCCAAAACUUAUAAAUACUUUGCAUUAACUAAUCGAUAUUUUUAUUAAUUCUUUAAAUAAAAAAGAAAUUUUGGACAAUUAAUGGUGAAUUUGGCCAUGUUAUGCAUGUUUUAUUUAUUUAUUUGAUUAAUUUCUUGUAUAUAUGUUUGAUUUUUGUUUUAAUAUAUAGCAUGAUUAGUUUUUUUAUUUGCACAUAUUAAUUCUUUGAAUUUCCCUUUGAUAGGUGAUGAAUCUAUUAAAAAUAAUAUUCCUGUCAAUAAAUAAAUAACAAUAUAAGAAGUAAAGUCGAUCUCACAGAAAUUGAGAUAUUUAAAACUUUUAUUCAGUUUAAUUAGGUUGUACAUCUAGGCAGUUGUCGUGCCUACAACGUGUAAUGGUCUAUGUAAAAAUAAAAAGAAAGAAUUUAAAUUUGAUAAAAGUAAAAAUAAGAGAAAUUUGUAUACAAGUUUUAAAAUAAAACUAGAUAAUUUUGCAAUCAAUUUAGAUAGUGAUCAAUUUAUACUAUAAAGCAAAAACAUUUGGGUGAAAGUACCUUCAAGUUUUUCGGAUUCGAGCAAAUUAAUCUCUCUAUUUAGUGUCUAUACUAUUAAACAAAUCAAAUAAGACCAAAUUAUUAUAGAUCUAAUAUUUGAUUUUUUUUCCCAUUUGAACAAAAGAUUUAAUUUGCAGAACCAUCAAAAGCUUUCAAAAUAUUCACUUUGUUAAACCAUAAAUGAUAUUUUCUUUUAAAUAGUAAAUGUUAACUCGAAACUUGAUAACUUGCAAAAAUAUAUUCAUCUAUAAAUUUGGUAUAAUCAACUAAGAACUAAUACUUCAUUAUGAUAGUUCAACUUAGAAACAAAAAUUUAAUUCAAUCACUUAGUGAUACCACCCAAAGCACCAAAAACUUGUAAUGAGAAAGAAAAAAAGUUAAAAUCUUAUACGCAUGGGCAUGACAAAAUCAAUUACAAAGAAGAUUUGAUGUAUAAAAUUUCAUGAUAGAAAAAAAAAUAUAUUUUCAAGGAUAGAACAACUUGGAAAAGAGAAGUUCAUUCCAGGUGUCUUGAAGGCCUGGCAAACACCAAUGGACGCAAUCAGCAUAGCUAACUGGGUUGGCUAGCUGUUCCGCUGUUAAUGGACUCCAUUGCUUCUUAUAAAUCGAUGUGUGUGCGUCUUUUCGAUAACUUGAGAGUUGAGUGAUGUUGAGAAAUGUGAUGGGAAACUUGGAUUUACUGAACUCUUCUGCAAUCACCUUCAUUAUGCUUUUCCUACUAUUCGAAUCCCAAUAGUUUGGAUCUUCAAUUAUAGUUGUUUGAUUAUAACAAUUCUCACCUGGUUCACCUCCCCAUUCAAUGCCCCUGCAAAAAUGUGUAGAAAACAAAUUGCUUAAAUAACUCUAAUCUCAUCAACUUGUAAUUUAUGUAAUUUUAUUCAAGAAUUGAGUUACUCGUUUAUGUUUAAAAGUUUAUCUUAUAAUUAGGAAGGUUCAGAUUAAAAAUAUGAUUCUUAUAAAAUUUGUACUCACUUUCCAUGAGUAGGAGACAUGCUAGUGAAAAACACUCUUGUCUUCUUGCGAUCCAUGUUUUUCCUCACCCAUCUCAGCAUGCUUCUCAUUGCCAUACGAUAGGCAUCCUCAGCCGACACUUUAAUUAUUUCUUUCUCCUCAUCCUCAAAAGACCCUUUCCUGUUGAAAACAUAGAUAAAUUAUACCCGUGAUUGACUAAACCAACAAAAAAAUGGUGAAUAUGUGGGUUUUCACUUCACAGCCCACAUCGUGGUGUGCGCGUACGUGAUAGUGAUUUGCUUUUGCCAAAGCAAGGGCGAAGGAAAGGAGGUAGGGGCCUUAGCCCCAAUAAAAUGGAAAAUUGUUGCUUUAGUCUCUCAAAUUUUACAAAAUCUUAAGUUAAUAUAUGAUCAAAUUAUAGUUUAUUCCUUUCCAAAGUGGUAGAAUUUUGAUUUAGUCAUUCUAAAAAUCAUAAAAUUAUGAGCCAAUAUGAUAGCGAAAUUACAUUUUAACUCUCAUAAAAAUAUAUAAUUUAAUUUUUACCCCUCCCAAAAAAAUUUCUAACUUCACCAUGUGCCAAAGGUGUGUGAAUAUUAUAUAAAAAAACAAAAAAGAAUGCUGAAAAUCCAAUGCAGAAAAGAGGCAAUACAAGAUUUUUAUGUCCAAGCCAGUCAUCCACCAUAAAUAGGUGUUGAAAACCAAAAUAUCAACACCCUUCCAAUGCUUGCCAUGCUUAUUUAUCGAGCCUCUCCUCACGAUCCGAUCCGAUACCAGGUGGAUGACGGCAUUAUCCGAGUUCGAUUCGAGAAGAAACGGAGCCCAGUAGAAUUCAAUGCUGGCAUUGUAAUCCUACACCAGAGAAUUAAUUACAAAAUUGAAAACUCAAUGGAAAUUUAGACAAAUUUGAGUGAUGUUGAUUAACAUACCUUGGCUCGGAACACCGUGAGUGCAUCAUUAUUGUAUGAUUUCAUGGACUUAGCAUGCUCAGGGAUGAGCCUGUGAAGAAGGCAAAUCAUUGAAACAUAUUGACCUCGGUUCAAUGAGUCUCCAACAAACAUCAUUCUCUUUCCUCUUAAGGUCUCCAACAUCAAUGUCGCAUUCAAACUGUUUAAUUAUUACAUAAGAGAAAAUAUUUAAAUCUACUAACAUAAAUGAUGUAUUAAGUUGAUGGUAAAUUCUUACUUCAAACAAAAGUAGAUUGAGUAUUAGCUCGAUUGGUAUGUAUAUUGUUGUCAAUACAAAAGGACGUGGGUUCAAGUGCACUAAAGCACAUUGUCUUCCUAUUUAUGUGUUGGGAGGUGCUGUGAGUAGUUUUAAACAUUAUCUCAAAAAAAUCUUCGAUUGAAAUAAGUUCCAAAUUCCUUAACAAUUCUUAACUUUUUUCGGUCUAAAAAGUUAUAAUAUUAUUUUAAUUUAUUCUAUUCUAAAUUCUCCUAUAUAUAAUUCUUGACCUCAACCACAAGAUAAUUAAAAAAAAAAUUCUAUUUCAAGAUAAAAAUAAAAUUGACACCAACAAAUGUUGGAUGUAGUGGGAAGGCACAUUACACUCUCAAGGAGAGUAGAUUCAAAUCUUGAAAAUACCAUAUUUAGAGGAUCAGCUACGAACCUUAAAUAUAGACCGUAAAAUAGAUAUGGAAGAUUUAAAUAAAAAAAAAUGACAAUAAUCAUUGAUUGAGCCUUAGCGCAGCUGGCACCGUUGUUAAGAGUUUUAACUCAGUUGAUACCAUUGCUAUUUCAUAAUUAGGAAGAAGUGAAUUUGAAUACAUUUAUGUGUAUUUUUACUAUAAUGGUUGGGGAGGGAAUAAGGUAAAAAAAAAAGUUCACAUUUUCACUAAUGAUGUUUAAAUCAGAUCGGAUCGAAUGAUUAAAUUAGGAAUCAAUAAGGAUUAAUUGAACUAAUUAAAAAUUUUUAAUAACUGGUUAAUCGGAUCGAUGAAUUGAUAGUUUAACUGAUUCGACUAUCAGUCUGAUUCUAAAAAUCGAAAAAAGAAGAGAAAAUUGAAGUUUGUGUUUCAUUUUUACCUAGGAAGAUCACAGCCAUGGGGUUGCCAUCUCCAUUUCUGAUACUCAGUAUCAGGUCUUCCAUGUUCUUGACACGUCAACUGUGGUUGUAUGUACGGACACUCCGAUUCUUCAUACAGCGGACGGGUCAACUCGUCCCUUACCCACCUCCCUUUGAAUACAUCACAUUUCUCUUCACUCUUCCCUAUGGCGAAUGCCAACUUCUCCCUUUUCUUCACUAACCCCAAAUCCACCCCCAAGACUCAGUCAAACCCCCAAAGCGCAAUAUAAGAUAAAAGAGUGCUUGAGUUUAGUAGACUGAGUUAACUCACCUGGUCUAGAGAUAGCUCGGCCGGGAAUCGGUUCUAGCUGUCCAAAAAUGCAUAUAAAGUCUUCUCCAUAUAAAAUAGUAAUGAAAACAAUGAAAGUAAACAAUGUGAAGAGAUAAGGUGACAAACGAGGUUUUCUAAGAACACCCAUGGAAGAAGAAGAAGAAGAUAGUGGAGACUUCAUUUUCUUUUAAAUAAAUAAUAAUUUUCUUUUCUUUUUAUUUGAAUGGGAUUUUUAAUUAUUUUGAAGAUCGGAUUCAUGAACUAAAUAUAGGAAACUAUAAAAAGGGUAGCAAUCGAAGUUUGGAAAAAAUUAAUUUAAUGAGAUAUGAAAUUAUAAAAUAAAAAACUGAAAAAAAAAAGUAUGAUAGUAUGAAUAUAUUAAGAGAAAGGAUUGUAUAAAAUGGGACAUCGCGUCAUUGAUACAUAAUUUAAUGAUAUUUUAGUAAUUUUUUUCAUAUAAUUGAUAUGAAAUUUUGGUGUUUUUUAGUCCGAACCCUAAAUCUUGAAUCUUAAAUUCUAAAUUUUGAAACCCUAAAUCAAAAAGCCUUUUGUAUAAGGUUUAGGUUUGAGAUUUGGUGUUUAGGAUUAAGGAUUUUGGGUUUUGAGUUUGGGUCUAGGGUUCAAAGUUCAGGGUUUAUGUUGAAAAAAUUAUUAAAAUUAUGUAUCAAUGACACGGAAAAAAUUACUAAAAUGUCAUUAAAUAAUUGUAAAGAGAUAUAGGAUGGCGUGACGUCCUUAUUUCAUACAAUCUUUUCUCAUAUAUUAAAACUAUACAUAAAUUUUGAUGUAAUGUGCAAUGUCAUACAUGAACUUUGAUUUUAUACAAUUUUAUACACGAAAUUUUAUUUUGAUUAAAUUUUUACAAGUUGCUAACAACGUUAUUGACUUAACAUCAUAUUACAUUGAUAUAUUGCAUACACAAACAAUUAUAUUAAUCAAAUAUGAAAAUAAAUAUAUGUAUUCAUUUAUUUAAAUGUGUACAAUCAAAUCAAAAUCAAGAUUUCAUGUAUAUAUAUGAACCACAAUUCAUAUUUCAUGUAUACAAUUAUACAAAAUCAAAGUUUAUGUACCAAAAUUGCAAGUUAAACGAAAGUUGAUAUAUAAAUUUAAUAUUUAACCAAAAAUAUUUUUUUUUAUUUUGAUUGCUCAGGGCAAGUGUGCAACACAAAAAGAAUGUUGACCAAUAUCUAUCAAAUUCAUGGUUUGACUUAACUUUCACUCAAAUGAAUAAAUGUUAUUAGGUUGAGUGUUAUGCUUUGAUGUAAAAUAUAAGGAAAAAAAUGGGUAAAUAUCAAAAUAAUUAUGUUUAAUGUGCAAUUGUAUACAUAAAUUUUGAUUUUGUGUAAUUUUAUACAUGAAAUCUUGAUUUGAUUUAAUUUUUGUAAAUUAUUAACACAAUUAUUAAUAUAAUAUUAUUUUAUUUUUAUAUUGCAUACAUAAAUAAUUAUAUGUAUCCAAUAUAAAAAUAAAUUGCUAUAUUUUUUUUAUUUUUUAAAAUACGUAUGAUUUAAUCAAAAUUAAAUUUCAAGUAUACAUUUGAAUCACAAUUAAAGUUUGACAUGUAUAAUUGCACCAAAUUAAAAUUCAUAUAUACAAUUACAAAUUAAUUCAAAAUUUAUAUAUAAUUUUGCGAUUUAUCCCAAAAAAUUUAUUAGAUCUAGUUCGAUUUGUAAAAUUAUUAUGGAUUUUUUAUGUCAAAAUUAAUAUAUAGAUUUAACAUAAAAUUAUUUUUUUUUAAAAAAUAUUUAUCAAUAAUAGUAAAAUAAGUUAUUUUUUAAAAGUUCAAAUAUUUUUACUCAAAUUAUUUUAUAUAUUUAAUGAAUUUUUAAAUUCGAACAAAUUAAUAUCCCAAUAUAUUUAAUGAGAUUUAAAUUUAAACAAAUUAAUAUCAAUCUAAAGUUUGACUCUUUGAAAAAUAAAAUUAAUUUUAUUUAAAUUUAAUUAUAAAAAUAUAUAAAUAUAAUUUUUUAUAUUUUUAUUAUUUUAAAUAAUAAAACGAAUUAACUCGAAGUUAAAAAGUUUAAACCUAAACUUAACUCAAAACACGCGGAAUUAACCAAUUGAAUUAACCAGCAGACCGAUAAACACCUUUAAAAAAUAUUUAUUUUGCAAAAAAAUAAUGUGAACCUAAUAUAUCUGGUAACCAAAAGUAGAGGGCAGUGAAUGAUCGUAAUGAAGGGGUUAUAAUUUUCCCUUGGCUUUUAAGCUAAGGGAGUGAAGCGAGUGUCCCAAACUUCAAAAAAAUUAAUGUUGAGUAUAGUAGAACAGAUAUUACAUUUUUAAAAGAGAAUAAUAAAUUAAAUUUUUAGAGAUAAUAUUGUUGAAAGGUAUUAUUACAUAUCUUUAAAAGAAUUAAUUUUUGUAAACCGUAAAAUGGCUAUGAAGAAAAUUUCGAUUAUACCUAAAAAAUAAAACUCAACUUUUAUAUGCCAAUUAUUACAAUGACUUGGCAAAGUGAAAAGAAAAUGGUUUGAUGAAUAUGAUGACAUAUAAUGUUUCACGUGUACAUCAUGUUUACAUACAAGAAUCAGUUUUUAAUUGUACAAAAAGAUGAGAAUUUUAACAGAAAUAAUCAAUUUAUUCUUUAAAUAAUGUAAAGAGUAUAAUCAGCUAUUUUUUUAAUUUCUUUCCUUUUAAGAGAAUUAGGUGAGAAUUUGGUGGCAUUUUACCUUCAAUUUUGUUGGCCUUUAUAUGUUGUCUUACUCUAAACCUCAGCAAGAAAGUAGCUGUUAAGUGAUAUACAACUGGUAUGAUUUACCAACCCAAUAGUGAUGGAUCAACUAAACUGUUUCCAUCUAUAUUUUAUUUCUUACCUAAUAUUUAUAACAAUGAGCUGUAUAUAUAAGGGUUACUUCAGUUUUUUUUGGUUUAGUGAAGAUCCAGAGGAUUUCUCUAUAUAUUCUCCAUAGAAUUUUUUUUAUCUAUUGUUUGUGGUUUUUAGAAUUGACUUGAUCGAUCAAAUCAAUUGAAUUGAUAAUCGAUCGAGAUAUUAGUCGAAUCAUUGUCAUUUAAGUAUCUCAUGAUGGAUUACCUGCCAAUCCAAAUAAAUAUAUAUUUUUUCAUUGCUAAACAUUCCAAAACACCUUGUUUUAAAAGUUGAAUGAUGUUGAGUAUUUUAGAGUGUGUCCUUCAUAUGGGUUAAAUUGUGUAUUUAUAUUAUAUAGUUGUUGUUCAUGGAUGUGAUAUUGUAGGUAGGUUCUCAUGCAUGUCAACACGUACCCUAUUCUAAGGUUAACACGUGUUUUCAAGAACCCACAUUAUGCAGUCUCAUAGAAAGGUGCGAGCACCUUGUAUGCGAACCCAAAGUACGAACCGCGUAAAAUAUGGGUCGAGAUCUGAUUGGGUAAUCAGAUAGCGCAUUGAUAAUAGUGAGUAUCAUAAUAAAUGCCUUCAAAUAUCAAUUUUUUUUCCAUUGAGAAUUAACAACCAUAGAAGAUGGCAAAUGGAGAAUCCAAAGAAAAUAUCAAAAUCUUCAAAGAUCCCUUACUUGCUUGCUUUUAGGAGUAUUCUUGUUACAACAUUUCAUUGCUUUAGAAGUUUUUAGGUUUUUUUAUUGAGAUGCUCAAGGCUUAAGCUUAAUAACAUAAAUAAAUUAUUUAAGCCAGUGAGAUUGGCAGGCAAAGAUGCAAUCCAUUCAAGAAGCUUUUCAACUUGGAACCUUUUUAGUGCAGUAGCUUGGUAUAUCAUUGAUCACAAUGAGACUUUUAGUGAAGGAUUUUCAAGAUCACUUGUUGGGCAACAAAGCUCCUCUCAUACAUAGGUAGGCUAUAGUUGAUCCAAGUAGUAAUCUUUAGCCUGAAAAAUUACUAGUGCUAGCUUUUUAUCCUUUCUAAGCUAGUAGUGAAGAAGAUACUACAAUCUUUCAAUAGGAUUGUAGGUUUAGCUAAAGGAGCUCCAAGAGGCUUGUAUACCACUGUCCUUAAAGAUAAUUUCUAGGAUUCAACAAGUAUUUCUGUUUCAGAAGUGAAUAGGGAACAUGAAGUACGAAAUAAUACUCACCUAAAGAAAGAAUGAUGGUUGUUUUGGUGUUGUUUAGAAAGCUUGGCAAUGCCAGGUACUUGUACAAAUCAUGUAUGGCCUAAUUUUAGAAAACAAAGGAAGUGUGUAAUACCCCUACCCGUAUUCAUUGCCGGAAUAAGGUACGAGGCAUUACCGGAGUUUACGAAUUAAAUUUUUUUUAUAUAUUUAAUAUAGCCCUUUUAUAAAUAUCUAACAUUCCCUCUAAUAUUAAAUCGAGACCAAUCCACAUCAACCAAAUCAAUUCAACAUAUUUUCAUGAUAGAUUCAUGCAUUUAUAUAAGAUAACGUCAUCACAUAUCUAUAACCAGGUUUGUUAACCAUACUAAUGGCUAACUUUACAUUCAUUUCACGUUAACAUUUACUUUGUUAGCUUAUACAUGCCAUUGAUUUCCAAAAUAAAGUUUCUUUAUAUACCGAAAUCCUGAGGUUGACAGUGUGAUGUGUCUCCGACCAAAUCCGACCUCCGAGCUCUUAACACUACAAAAUAGGGAAAAAGGAAACGGGGUAAGCACUUUGUGCUUAGUAAGCUCAUGUAAAAAGAAUUAUACUUACCUAAUAUUUUUAAUACAAUAUAAUAAACAUUCAUAUAUCCAUUCAAUGCAUUAUUACCCUAACAUGCACAAACUCAACAUUCAAGUUAGUACAAUAAUUUCCAUGUAUCAAUAAUAUAUAUACCAUGAUUGAUGAGCUCGUCAAUACCAUGAUUUCCAUUUCCUUGUUAUUUUUCCAUAUUUAUCCCGUUGAAUUUAUCGGAAUUUUGAUGGAUUUUCAGAGGUACACAUUUAGUGUACAAUUCCGGGUCCGUCAAUUCAUAUUCAUGUGUGUACAUAUCCAUUUCAGAGAGCACACUCCCGCGAACCUCAACCUUGCAGCGGGAUUACCAGUCCAGGCUAAAUCCCCUGCAAUAUAAACUCAUAGAGUAUUGUCGGGAUUACCAGUCCAGGCUAAAUCCCCUGCAACGACAAUUACUCUAAUGAGCUUGGAUCUGAAUUACCAGUCUAGGCUAAAUUCAGACCCUAAUUCGGAUUACCCGUCCGGGCUAAAUCCAUUUUACACAUAUUCUUCGGGAGGGCUAUAUCAGGAUAGGAUCACCCGUCCGGGCUAGAUCCUUUUUACCGUCAAUUCCUUUUCAGAGAUCCAUCGAAUUUUCCUUUCAUUCAACCGGGAUUUCUUCCCAUUUUAUCAAAUAUAUCAAUGUUUCAUAAAUUUUCAUACAAUGAACAUUCAAAUCAUAUUCACAUCAAUAACAUACAAUCUCAAGCAUUUAAGAAUAUAAUUCAAGUUACACGAACUUACCUUGAUACUUGUUUGUAAACAGUAAAAAUCUACUAAUCCCGAACUUUUUCCUUUCCUCGAUCUAGCUUCGUAUUUGAAUCUUCUGGAUCUAAAUAAAUAAAUUUAAUUAUCAAUUUAAUACAUUUCAUGAUCAUAUGCAACAUUCUCUAUAAUUCAACUAUUAUUUAUAGUUCAUUCAAAGCUGUCUACUUGAUUCAUAGUCACUAAAUUAUUUAUAACUUGAGCUACGGAACUCCAAAUUAAGAUCCGUUAAUUUUCCCUGAAACUAGACUCAUAUAUAUUUUUACUAUAAAAUUUUCAGAAUUUUUGGUUUAUCCAAUCAGUACAGUUUAUUCUUCAAAGUCACCCAUGUUCUGUUGUCUAACAGUUCUGACCCUUCUUCACUAAAAAUAAAUUAUCUCUUUAUACAGAAUUCAAAUGAUGUUCUCGUUUGUUUCUAUUAAAAAUAGACUCAUUAAGAAUUCUAUACAUAUAAAUUUAAGUUCCUAAUUAUUUUUAUUCAAUUUUUUAUAAUUUUUCAAAGUCAGAAUAGGGGAACCCGAAUUCAUUCUGACCUUGUCUCACAAAAUUCAUUAUAUCUCAAAAUUUACAAAUCCAUUGCUUACAAUAUUUCUUCUAUGAGAAACUAGACUCAAUAAGCUUUAAUUCCAUAUUUUGUUCAUCUUCUAAUUCGAUUCCUAAAAUUUUUGGUGAUUUUUCAAAGUUAGUCUACUGCUGCUGUCCAAACUGUUUUAGUGCAAACUGUUUAUUACAAUUUUUCCCCUAAGCUUUUAAUAAAUGAUAAUUUCGUCCCUACUCAAUUAGCUCUCAAUUGAGCUGAUUUUUCUCAAUUAACAUUUUAUUCUAUCACCUUAAACUAUUUUACAACCUUUAGGAAUCAGAAUUUCAGCAAUAGAAUUUAAUUCCAAACAUUUUCACAACUAGGUCCUAAAAAUCAAUUUCCAUUGAAAUUGCCUAAUAAAAUCAUCUCAUAAACAAAUUAAAGCUUUAAUUUCAUUCUAUUUCAUCAUAAAAUUACAGCACUCAACCAUGGUGACUUUCAAUUUCAUCCAUGAAAUCAAAAACUAAUGAAUUUAAUAGUAGGACCUAGUUGUAAAAGUCUUAGAAACACAAAAAUUACAAGAAAAAGGCAAGGAUUAACUCACUUGGUGAAAAAAUUAUGAAAUAAAAGCUUAGAGAACCCUCCUAUGGCGUUUUUAGCUGCUGGAAUUGAAGAGAAAUGAAGAGAAAUCUAGAUAUUUCCUAUUUAGUCCUAGUUUUAUUUAGUUAAUUUUGCAAUAUUCCAAUUUUACCCUUAAUUUAUCAAUUUUUCUGCUGAUUUCAUACCCUUGCCGUCCAGCCCAAAUAACUUUUGGGUCUAAUUCCCUUUUAAAUCCUUUCCCAUUAGACUCUUAAGCUAUUUAAUCACUCUAGCAACUUUUACACCUAUUACAAUUUAGUCCUUUUCAUUUAAUUGACUACCCAAACAUUAAAAUUUCCUAACGAAAUUUUAAUACCACAUUAAUAACAUUUCAUAAAUAUUUAUAAAAUUAUUUUCGACUUGGUUUUACAAGAUAGAGGUCUCGAUACCUUAUUUUACCCAAUUUCUUCAAUAAUUUUUUUUUCUAACUAAUCACUAAAUCGAUAAAAUUUUCCUAUCAAUAUUUUCAUACGAUUUUCCUAUCAUAUCAAUUUUCAAGCAAAAAUAUUGAAAUAAAUUUCUCUUUAAAUCGGAUCUAUGGUUACGAAACCAUUGUUCCGAUAACCUUGAAUUUAGGCCAUUACAAAGUGAAUGUUGAAAGAUUUAAGGAAUAAAACCAUACUCAACUAAAAGAAGAAUGACUAUAGAUGAUACAGCCUGAAAUGACAAUGGAGCGGGGCAGGGGCAGAUAUUGUUAAAUUCACUUCUGCUCCAUGAUUGGCACAAUCUGCUUCACCAUUCGUCACGCUCUAUUGUGGACAUAUAAUAUUGAAAAUCACUACCACCUCCAUGUAUGUUGGAUAUAUCCAUCUCACCCCCUCCCGCUUCGCUUCAAUUUAAUUUUUAAAUCAUUUUAAAGUCAAUAAAUAUUUAAACAUAAUUCUUCAAGAAAAUAUUGAAACAUAAAAUAAGUGAUUUUUUUCUAUAUUAUAUUACUUACAUUUUUAAAAUUUUUAAUAGUUUAUAUAUACAAUGAUAAAAAGAUAAUUUUAUAUAGUGAAGUAGGUCGGGAUGGGACAAACAAUAUCCAUUACCACUUCAUACUCACUAUCCAAAAGAAAAAAUCCACCCCACCCUACUUUUCAAACAAAAAAAAUCCACUCUAUUCAAAUAAAGUGGUUUAAAUUUUGCCAUCCCUCCACUCUAAUUGAUCAUAGUGAGUGAACUCGCAAGCAAAAUGGAUCAAGCUUCACCUUACUCUCACACACAAGAGAGGAAUCAAUAAAUUUGCACUUUGACAGACUUAACUAAAUGAUGUGGGAUUCUUUUGAAAUACAAUUAUCUUUUCAACAAUUAUAUCCUUGAGCUUGGCUAGUAUUUUUAGGAAUCUUUGGGCCAUCCUUAGUUGAAUUGGAUCCAUUUGGAUUGCAUAGACAAAAUGCUAUGUUCUCAAAGAUAAAAGUAUAUGACAAGUCCCUAUCAAAAGCAGUAGAAGUUGGAAUAUUGGAAAAAGCUUUUGCAUUUGAGGGGAAAGCUCUACAGGUCACCAUGAAUAUACUAAUGGGACGCUAGUAUGGCCUUUUCUCUGGAUAUAAAUAUGCUGCGGCAACUAUUUGGCAAGAACUAAGACCAAGAGGUGAUACGGUACCUAGGCAUAGGUUGAUUUGGGCUCAAUUUCAAGCAUGCGGUGAUUGCUUGGAUGAGUAUUGUUGAUAGCUUGGCAAUUGGAAGCAGACUUGCUUAAUAGGGGAUCAUUAUGAGACACAUUCACCAUUCUACACCUAACCCAAUCCAUUAUUUUUCAUACUUUUCAUGUUUGUUUUAUUGUCUCCAUCUCGAUAAUAUGAUUUUUAAAGUUCGAACCUACUUUCUUUUUGGAGUCCAAUAAACCUUACCAUUAUAUCUAACACUUAAUGGUAACCAGUCUCAAAUUGAUUUCAAGUUUUGGGUACUAGUAUGUGUUUAGAUAUUUAAUUCAUCAAUUGUAUUGCACUUAAGAUAAUGAGUUAUGUAAUAUGAGCCAACAAAAUGUUGACAUUGUUGGCAAAAAUUAAAUAGUUAGAUUUUUUAAUUCGAAAUUCAUCAUGUGUAAUUGUUAUGAGUUAAUUUUAUAAUUUAUAUUAGCUUAAUUUUAUUUUAUAAUUACUUGGAUAUAUAUUAUACUUAUAAACCGAAAGAAUAAGAAAAAUAUAAGAUAAAAGUAUCUCGUAAAAAAAUAUGAAUACUUAAAUUCGUUUUACAUGGACGAUAGUACUAUAUAUACACACAUAUGGUUUCUAUAUAUACACACAAAUGGUUUCCAUGAAUUAAUGGAGAACGUGGGCUUAUGGUCCAAAACAAAAAACCAUUCUCCCAAUACGUCUAACCAAGAGAAAUCCAUCAUCACCCAUUUUUUCUUAACCUUAAUUUUCCUCUUUCUUGAAUUUUUUUUUCUUUUUUCUUUUAUGUUUCUUCAUAUUUAAGAUUCGUGACUAUUCUUUUUAAUAAUUUCAUUUCAAAAUUUAAAUUCGCAUUCUUUAUUUAAGAGUGCAACCGUUGUACCCAACACUUAUUGAUUGCUAGUUUUCUCUUUUUAUAAUAUUCUCAGCAUUUUCUUUAUUUUUUCUCCUCGCUUUACUCAAAGGCUAUAACGUAGGUAUCUCAUUGACUCUGAAGAGCUAAUAGUGGGAUAGUGAUUAGAGGUGAGUUUAGUUAGGUUUAAUCGUAUUUUUUGCACUAUUUAUGAUAAUUUAGUUUAGUAUAAUUCAAUUCUUAGUCUUCCAUAUUAUUUUUGAAUUUUAAAUUUUUAGGUUUAUUUUGACGAAAAAAAUAUACUUUAUUUAUUGUUUCUGGGUAUUUAGUAAAGUUUCAAUGUGUUCUUUAUAAAUAUCUACGAUUAACUUUUCAAGUAAAUAAAAAUUAAUUAAUACUACUUAUAUAGUAUUUUUUUAAAAUAGAUUUAUUUUUACGUAAAUAAAAUAAAAUAUAAAUCAAAUCAAAUAAAAAAGGCUCGGUUUGGAUAACCAUUGUUUUUUAACUUGUAUUCCAAAAAGCGUUCAGAUUGAUUUUAUUUUUUCUGCUCGAUUCAAAUCACUUUACUAUUUUUCCUCUUUGCCUCUAAUGAUGAUGAGUGUAAAAGAUUUUAACUAUGUCAGACAUAAAUCUUAAAGUGCGUUUGGUUUGUCGAGCCUUUGAUUAAGUUUCAUAAUAAGAUUACGGGAAUAUUAGAUUAUAAGUGAAAUAUAAGAUUAUCUUUGUGUGGUUCACUUGAAUGGAAUGUAAUAUUCAUGUUUUUGGUUGAUAAAAUGUAAUAUUCCCUAAAAGUAAAUUUUACUAUAUUGUCCUUGUUAUAAAAUUUUGUCUUGUACAAGUUCAUUUCCUUUAACAUUUGUAGUCUCAAAUUUACGAGUGAAAAGGGUAAAAAAAAAGAAGAGAUUUUGGAGUAUGCUUCAUAUUUCAGGUCAAAAUAAGGAGUGACGUCGCAAUAAGCAACCGUCGUCACGACGAGAAGAAAAUUUCCGUCCCAAUGACGCGACGAUAUAUGAAAAUAUGUAGCUGAUUCCCUGGACGGUAAUUUUGAGAUUAUUUCCUAAUUAGACCUUAAGCAUUUAAUAAUUUAUUGCAUUAAUUAGCAUCUAAAGUGUACCUAGGGUAAAUGGGCACUAGGAUUUGUGUGUGAAUUAGACCUAAAUAAGGAAAUAACACAAUUAAGAGAGAAUUUUGUGUUCCAAUUUGAAGGGUUUUUUCUUUCGAGGUUUCGAGUGUUUUUUACUCUCUCCGUCUUGUACUUUUCUCUUAUUAGUAAAAUUUCUUUUUGUCUGUAGUUUUUUAUCCUCUGCGGAGGAAUUUUUCCACGUAAAAUUUUUCUGUUCAAUCUUUUCAAUUUCUUCGUUAUUUUACUUAUUUGUUACUUACAUGAAUUUAUUUUGUAAAUAAAUAAAUUCUAAAAAAUCAAAAGAAUCAAAAUUAAAUAAACCGAACCAAAUAACAAAAAUAUUCAAUUUGAUUAAUUUAAUUUUAUCAAGAUUUAAUUUAGUUUUAAUAUCUAAUUAUUAAUACAUAGAAACCAAAUCAAUCAAAUAUUCACUUUAUUUUUGCUCAUAUACUAAUUUUUUUUGUAAAAUAAAAUAGGGAUGCUAUCAAACGGAAAAGUAAGUUCAACCAAUAAAAAAAUUAAUCUCGAUUAAACUUUAAUUCAGUUGAAAUCAUUGAUUUUAUAAUUAUUGAAUAAAUAAGGGUUUAAAUCUUCUUAUAUGCAUAUUUUCUUCUGAUUUAAAAGUUUGAAGGAUUUAAAUAAAUAGAUGUAAGCAUUAUAUAUAUAUAAGAAAAUAAUAGCAAUUGUCUUGACUUGUAUGAAAUGAUGGUUAAAAUUUUUAUUAAACACUUAUUUAAUACGAAUUUAAACCAUGUUAAUCCCAUCUCUUACCUCUAAUAUUGUAUACAAACGAAAAUACUAGUAGUUCAUUUUUGAGACAUUGGUUGUCAUUCACCAUUAUUAACUUAUGAUGUAGAAGUAGUAAUCAUAUGCAAUAACUAUAGCACUCAGUUAUGUAAUUACUAAGUACAUGCACUCGGCUGUGCAAAAUUGUGUCCCUAGGAUCCCAUGCUGCCUCCUUUCAUAGUCAUCAUUGAAACAAUAAAAUUCCAACUAAUAUUCAAAACGCAUUUAUCAAGCACCUAACACAUCUUGUUGCUGCACAUUCCACUCCAUUGACUCAUAGUUAACAAUGCCCAAUUUACAAUUUAAGAGAUUAUACACAAAACUAUCAUGGAGGUUCAUUUAUUUAAAAUUUGAGUAAAUUAGUCCUGAAUGUUACAUUAAAGAGUAAAACUAUCUUUCUGUUAGAAAAUUCAUCCUUUUUUAUUAUUGAAAACUGAUCUAUGUAUGUCGAUAAGAAGUACACAUGCGAAGAAAGAGAAUCAAACUUGGGUCUUAAAGAUAAUUUCACUAAUACUUAACCAUUAGACUAGUAACUUAUUUUUUUAUAAACAUGCAAGUAUAACCUUAAAAGUUAAGGAGUGACAACUCUCAGUUCACUAACUCAAUUCUUAGAAUGUGAUAUUAACAGUAAAAAUAAGUCAAUUUUUUAAUUGAAAAGACUAAUUUGCUCUUUAAUUUAAUAUAUAGGAACUAACUUGCUAAUUUUUUAAAUUAAGGAGACAAAAAAUAAUUUGACUCUUGAUACAAUAACCUUCAUAGUACUUUUACCGAGAUUAUAUUCUUGUUUGGGUAAGAUUUUUUUUUUUACUUAUUUGCUAUUGUUAAAGAUAAAAAGGGUAGAAGAUAAAAUUAAGCCUUGAUUUAGAUUUACUCUUUUUUUUGUCAGAAUUAAGGUAUCAAUUAUCGAUAACAGUUACUAAUUCUUUUAUUAUGAUAGAUUUCUAAUGAUGUAAACACUUGAGCAUAAAGUAUACUCAAUUUUAUUAAUAAAAAUUGAACUUUCAACUAUAUAAUUAAAAGAUAAAGUGAGCUAUCAUUAUGUCACAAUUUUAAAUUUAUUGGUUAAUCUUUUGAAGUGUAUUUUUUUGUAAAUUAUAAAAAAAAAUAAAGUCUUAAUAAAAACGCAACUAAAAUCUAAAUCAUAAGUGAAAUAAUGACCAUCCCAACUAUUAUGUCUUCACAAAUUUUUUUAAAGUGUCAUUUUUAGUAACAGUUACAAAUGGUAGUAGGAGUAAAUAUUCAUCCAAGUCCCCAUUUUCCUUUCAAAGAAAAUCCCAUUUCUAAGUGUUCUUUGCUAGAUCAAAUAUAUAUAUAUGUAUAGACACAGCUGGCAGAUCUUCAUUUCUUCUUUCAUAAUCCACCCCCUAAAUGAUGCCCUGAAAUGUCAAAAUGCCCCAUCUCUCUCUCUCUCUCUCUCUCUCUUCCAUCACCAUUAUUACACCCCCCCAAUAGCUCUGAAUCUGAAUAUCUUUAAUUCAAAUCCCCAUUCUCCAUACAUACUCUCAUCUAGAUCUAGGGUUCCCUUCAUUAUCUUAAAAACCCCUAUAUAUCUACAAACCUUACAAAAAAACACCUCCCAAAAUCAAAAUCCCUCUCCAAAUGAUUCCCCAAUGGCUAAGAUCACCAAGCAGGGCAGCAACAACAAACCCCACAAAGUCACCUUCCCAUUUCUCUUUCUCUUCAUUCAAAGACAUUGAUGCUAUCCUCAAAGAAGAAGAACAACAACAAGUCCUCUAUCCUCAAUCCCCUAAAAGACCCUCCAUUUUCCACCGUGUCAAGCUCUCCACCACCGUCUUACGCGCCUGGUCCUCCUCCAACCGCCGUCCACUUACUCUCCCCAACGCUGACCAACGCGUCGUUGUUUACCUCACCAGCCUCCGUGUCGUUCGAAAAACCUUUGAAGAUUGCAAGACCGUUCGAUCAAUCCUUAGAGGACUCAAUGUUCCCAUCGACGAACGAGAUGUGUCAUUGGAUUCUAGUUUCUUAGACGAGUUACAAGGGAUCAUUGGGCGUAACAAAAGUUUCACCCUUCCCUUGGUGUUCAUCGGCGAAACGUAUAUCGGCGGAGCAGAGGAAGUGAAACGAUUACAUGAAUGUGGUGAACUGAAGAAGAUGAUCGGUGGGUUACCGUCGGUGGUUGGGUCAAGUGUGUGUAAUUUAUGUGAAGGGUUGAGAUUUAUUCUUUGUCCACAAUGCAAUGGUAGCCAUAAGAUCUACUCUGAAAAAACUGGGUUCCGAAGUUGUGCCGAUUGCAACACCAAUGGUCUGGUUAGGUGCCCGUCUUGUAAUCCCUCCGGUCACCGGCGAAUUAGCUAUCCUUUUUCGUAGCUUUAAAACUAUAUAUUAGAUUAAUAAAAACAAAAAGAGAGAAACGUAAUUUAUUUUCUUCUACUAAUUUUCGUUAGCGCAUUUGACUGUGGAAAAAAUGCAUGUAUAUUUUUCUCAAAAGUAGUAUAUUAUUAUUAGGGUUAAUGUCACGGUUGGUCCCUAAACUUUCACCUAAUGUGUAAUGUGGUACCUUAAAAAAACAAACCCAAUUUAAUACAUGCACUAUUUUAUCAUGUAUCAAUGACUUAGCAAUAAUCCUCAUAUUAUUGAUUUUGGGUUUUAUAUAAUAUUCAUGGGUUGAUUAAAUUUUAAGUUAUUUUUUAUAAUUUUGUUUAAUGUUUGAAAUAGAAAAAAAAAAUCAAAUAAUAUAAUGACUCGGUAAAGUCUAGAACCUAUCAUAUGAAAUCACAUGGCAUCCAUUUAUUUGUGGUUUCCGAAGUCAGCAUCUGAAUUAAAUGGUGUUAAGGUUUUGGGACACAUGGAUACGUGGUAGUUUAGUACAUGUAUUAAAUUAGACAUUAUAUUUGUAGAGGUAUAACCUUAUUGCAUAUUCGAUCAAAGUUUAAGGGCUAGUUGUGAUAUUAACCCUUAUUAUUAUUUUAAGGUGUGAAGUAAGAUUCGAGGUAAAAGUACUAUGCAGAAAAUUGUAGUAGGAGUCCGAUUGUAUUUUAGAGCAAAUUGAUUUGUUCUGUUAAAAAUUUCAUCAAUUUCUAUUAAAAUUGGUGUGGUUAACAAAAUAACAUGUGAUGUGCCAUGUGUACUUUAUAUUGAUGUACAUGGACUAGCUUUUAACAGUGAAAAUGGAUAGAAUUUUUAACAGAAGGACUAGUUGGUUCUUUAAUCUAAUGUAUAGGGACUAAUUUACUUGUUUUUUUAUUAAAUGAAACAAAUGUUUUAGGGAAAUAACCCAUGUAUGCAACAAACAAAUAAAUAACGUAAAAUUGACAAGAUUGAACACAUAAAUUUUAUGUGGAAAACCCCUCAAAAGAGGAUAAAAAAUCACGAACAAAAGAAAAUUUCACUAUAAUAAAAAGAGAGUACAAAAGAUGGAGAAAAUUAACUCGAAACCCCGAAAUAAAGACCCUUCAAAAAAAAAUAGAAUUCUUUCAAUCUAAAUAUUUCUGUUAUUGUAAAACCUAAAGUAAUUAAGGUCUAUUUAUAAGCUAAAAUUCGUAGCAUAUAUGACUAAAGUAUCCCUAAGUUAAUCGAAGUUUAAAAAGAAACUUGAAGUGCACGUCAAGAUGAAGAACUUCUCCUCAAUGCGACAUCACACACUAUUUAAUCGAAAAUACGAGACAUACUUCUACAAAUGCAAUAAAUUCUUAGUAUAAGAGCUUUCACCCAAUAGCCAGGCAAUAACAUAAGAAUAAUAUAAUUUCCAGUAUUUUCCAGGUUGCCAUAUGUUAUAAAAGAGUGACUAAUUAUUCUAUCUCACGUGGUUUCCCAUUGGAAUCUCAAUAAUCCAUAGUUUGGAGACUCCUUAAUUGACUUGUAACUUCGUGAUACAGUGGGUUUUAGGCUGGCUUUUGCUAAUGUACACGUUAACAUUAAUUACAAGUAAAAUAUAUACAAAUUUUCUUAAAUUUAACACACUAAAUUAUUUAUACAUAAAAAUCAUAUAAAUAUAACCUAACUUAAAAAUAAUUGGUCUCAUAAAAUAAAGACUAAGUACCUUUUUAGACGAAUGGUGUGGUACGGUACGGUGUUUAUCUCAUACUAUAAUAUUGUUACAAUAUAUAAUGUCAUCAUCGCUAUUAUUUUUACAUUAACCGUAAGUAAAUAUACCAACCAUUCAAACUCAUACUAAGAAAACAGUACCUUAAUAAAUAAUGAUAGAAUCUCUUGUUAAUGAUGAAAAGUUUAAUACUAUAAUCAAGUAAUAAAUUAUAAUAUCUAGAUUUUUUUCAUUUAUUUAUUUUCUCUUUAUAUUAUUGAUGUUUGGCAUAUUUUGAUAUGAUAUGAAUGAUUCUGAUUAUAUGAAAAAAAAUAGUAAAAUAAGAUUCCAGCCUUUCUUCCAGCUUUCAAUGAAAAAGGAAAAAAGAAAAAGCUGUCAGCAGGCAAGCUCCCCAAGGGAGGGAAUAAUUGGCAAAUUUACAAAAUUAUCAUAGAUUAUUUUAGAUAAAAGUAUUAUGAACCUGGGACGGAUUCAAGAUUUUAUUUUGAAGAGGGUAAAACUUUUAACUCUGAACGAAUUAAUUUAAUAUUUUUUAAAAAGUAUUAAUGAUUUAGCUGUAGAAAAGUUAAAAAAAUUUACGUUAUAUAAAAUUAAAUGUUUCCUUCUAAUAUACAAAAAAAUAAUUAAUAUUAUACUAAAAUUUUUAUAAAUAUCAUUAUAAUUUCAAAAUUAAAUUAAAAAAACUUGGUCUUAAUCCUAUUUUUCAAUACUAGGUAUCUUAAAUUGUACCCUCCUCUCUUUUAUAAGAUUAAAUUCAUCAAUAAUUCUCGAGAAGUCUUCUGCGUAAAGAGUUGAGAGGAAGAUAAUUUGUCUUUUGUUACUCUGUGCUCUCAGUCUCGACAUCAAACUCUUUUCUUUUUCCCUUGGCGAUAUCAGCACCUUAUCAGAGGAAGAUAAUUCCUUAACAAUACAUAUAAAUCAAAAUACAAAAAAGUUACUAACCUAAUAUGUAAAUGUAUAGGCCAAAUCAAUUAAUUCUGAAAUUUGGCUUUAAAGUCCAUAUUGUGCCUGUAAAUUUUGUCUUAAUCUUAAAAAAUUAACUCUCAAAUUUUACAAAUGAUUUUAAUUUGAUCUUAAUUUUAAAGAUUCGAAAAAAUAUAUAAAAAUACAUAAUUAUUUUAAAUAUAAUAAUAAAUUUAAAUUGUAUAUUAAUAUUAAAUAAUAAUAAAAAUUCCCCACCCCGUCCUUCUCCCUCCUCCCCUCCCCCUCCCCCUCGACCGUCCCCGUACCCCCCGCCCUCCUCAUCUCCAUCACCGUCCCUAUCCGCAGGGUUGUGGUUGGCUUCAUUAAUGGUAAUUGGUAAACUUGAAAUUUUGAUUUCUCACCAUCUUAAUAUAAUAAAAGAUUUUUUGGUCUAUGUGAUUAAGCGCCAAGCUUUUUGAUGGCUCUGCAGCAGAGAGAGGGAGGGGGUACGGGGGCUGUCGUUGAUGGAGGGGAAGGAGAGAGGGAGGGAUGAGGUGAUUUUUAUUUUAUUUAAUAAUAUUAUAAAUAUUAAAUUUAUUAUUAUAUUUUUUAAAAAAUAAUUAUUUAUUUUUAUAUAUUUCUUUAAUUUUUUUAAUAAAAUUAAGAUGAAUUAAGAUUAUUUAUAAAUUUUGAAGAUUAUUAUUUUUAAUUAUGAUUAAAUUAAUAUAUUAAAUUUUAUAUAUAUUUAUAAAAUGUUUACUUGUUUAAUCUAAAUCAAUCUUUAGGACAUGUAUUGAAUCCGUAUACGACUAUACUUAUUCUAUUAGACAUUGGUUAUAAAAAAAGGGUUGUUUAAUCCUUAAAACAUAUAUAACAGAAAUCCUCUUGUAUUGUUAUUUUUCAACAUUAGUGAAUUUUUUCUUUUCUGCUCGUAGUUUUUCCUGAUGAGGAUUUUUCACGUAAAAUCUACGUGUUCUUAUUGAUUUACGAUCAUUUCUACUGUUAUUAUCGUGUAUAGUAUAACAAAUAAGUUAAGAAUAAAAUUCUCAAUUUAAAUGUAACAAUCCUUUGUUUUAUAGUAACAUUUUCUUUUCUAUAAGGGGACAUGACAUUAGUAUUAGUUCUCAAUUUAUAAAUUAAGGGUAGAUUUAGAUGAACAGUGCGUUUACCUGCGGUUAGUGUAAAAUCAACGGUGGUGGUGAGAUUAGAUACUGUAACGAUACUAUAGCGUGAGACAAAAAGUAAACUAAACGCACCGCAACACACCCAAUCGUCCAUCCAAACCCACCCUAAAUAUCUUUGAAAUUUAUGUUUAAUAUUUUUAUUUCUACAUCAUAAAAUUGCAUUUUAAUGCAAACAUAUAAUCAUAAAAAUACAAUGUCAAUGGCAAAUAAAAAUAUUGCUCUAAGGAGCAUUGAAGCCACAACUUUCAAUUCAUUGUAAAUCAUCAAAAAUUUAUUUUUUUACAAAAUAAAUUAUAUUAUUAAGGGUAUUUUGUGUUUUUGUAUAUUUAUAAAUAAAAAAAUUACACAUAAUGAUAUGGAUAAAUUAUACCAUUAGUUAUUAAAUUAUGAGUAAGUUUUUGUUUCGGUCACUUAACUAAAAAAGUUUCAAUUUGGUCACUGAACUAUUUGAAUGUUUUAAUUUAAGUUGUUAAACUAUUCAAAAGUUUUUAUUUAAGUCACUGAUUGUUAAGUUUUUUUUUUAAAGUUUCACCAACGAGAUCCAAGUAAUGAUUCGACGACCGAUAUGGUGAAUCAAUACCCAUCGACGAGUAGAAGAAUAUACCAACAAGAUAAGCGCAACUUAACAAACAAAUGCCUCUAAAACAGUAACAAAAUUAACAAUAAAACAAGAGUUAUACAAUAUCCAAACAAUAACAAUAAAAUAAUUGCAACAUAAGAGUAAAAUGGUAGCUAAUGAAAAACAAUAAGAAAAUAGCAACAAAACAAUAAAAAGAACUUUUUUUUUUCAUAUUCGAUUUGGGCCUCCGGCCCAUUUUAUAAAUAGGCCUUUUUUUGCCCAAGCCCAUUUUUCGUGUUUAUAUUUUUACCCAAAUCUUCUCACUUUUCAGGCGAACCUUCGGAUCGGGUCAGGUGGCCCGACCCAUGAAUAGGUCUAGUUCUUAUGUAUUUUAAUUUUUUUAGUUCUUUUAUUUAAAAAUUAUAUAAAAGUAUGAAAACACAAAAAAAGCCAUCAAUUUGAUAAAAACUUAUAAUAAUAAUAAUUUCAUAACCGAGUUGGCACCCAGUUAACUCAUGACACCAACUUAGUCAAGAGUUUUAUUAAUAGUAUAAAUGUUAAAAACAUGUUUCACUAAAUGUGUUUCACAAAAACUCAUCUUUAGGUAUAAAGAUAAAUUUAGUUCUUAAAGUUUACAUUUUUUUAAUUUGGUCCUUAUUCCAUUUUUAGCUAAAUUUAACCUCAAGCUUUUAAAAGUUGUUAAAUUUGAUCAUUAACAUUUCAAAAAGAGUUGAAUUACUAUUUUUAAUGGAAAUACAAAGUUAAAAUUUUUAAACGUAACAACUCGUAUGACUACCCACGUGUACUUCAUUUUUUUAAUAUGUUUAUAAUUUUGAAAUUAUUUGUCGAUGUAGCACAUAGACAAAUAAUGUCAUGUUAAUAUGAAGUACUUGUGGACUGCCAGACAUGUUACCAUGAUAACAUUGUUAAAUGAUUAUGGUUUUAGUCAAUAUUUCCAUUAAAAAAAAAGUAAAUUGACACUUUUUGAAAGGGUAAAGCCAAAUUUAGUCAAAAAAAGAAUAAGGGCCAAAUUGACAAAAGAUAUAAAUGUUGAGGGUUAAAUUUAUCAUUAUGCCUAUUUUUAUCGACUAGUUGCACUACCAAUGUUAAUUUACAAUUUUUAUAUUGUUUAAAUUAUCAUCUGGAGCCUGAACUUGAUGAUUAUUUUUCUAUUGAGGUUUAAAUUUUUUUAAAUUUAAGUUAGACCUCAAACUUGAUAAUUGUUCAUACAGUGGGGCUUGAGCUGCACAACUAUUCUCACAUUGGGGCUUGAACUUUUUUUUAUCUAAAUUAAUCCCUGAACUUGAUAAUUAUUCCUACAAUAGCUUGAAUUUUAAGAUUUUCAAAAAAAAUUCAUAAGCUAACUUAUAUAAAAAGAGUUCAGGUCCCAAUACGAGAAUAAUUGUCAAAUUCAAACUAAAAAAUAAUUUAAUCCAAAAAGAAAAGAAGAAAAUUCAACUCAAAAUGGAGCUUUCUAUCAUAUCUAAUAAUCUAAUCAAUCAGAGUUGUUGGGCCGGCCCAUAAUUUCCCCUUUACUUUUUUUUUUCUCUGUUGAAACGCAAGCCUUAUUCACGUGUCAAUCACUGUCCGUCAGAUAUGAAUCCGAAGGAUGGUGUGUAAUCCAUAUAAUGUUGGUUUUCUGUUAAAAAGUGGGUUUCGAGAAAACGACACGACAGGCAUUAAACCAAGUGGGCUGCUCCAAGCCAUUAUCACCAUUCUUCAAUAUUUCCCUACCACACAAAAUUUUAUUUGUCAAAUCCUUUUGCUUCAUUUGAAGUGAUAUUCUUCUAACUUUCCCCCCCCCCCCCCUUUUUCCCAAUUAAAAGAAAAACAAAACCCCUAUACAUUAUAAUCUAAAAUUUGUUUAUCUAAUUGUCGAUUGAGUGUUUGUUCAAUUGGUAUGGUCAUUAUUACUAUUACGUGAAGACGUAAGUUUGAGUGCUUUGAAACAUAUUAUCCUCUUAUUUAUGAGUUAGGGAAGAGCUAUGUAAAGUUCUAAACAUUACUUCAAAAAGAGUAUAUUAAGAUAAUUUUAGGGAUUUAAAUUAAAAGAAAUUUGGAUAAUACUCACACAUAUUUUUACAUAGGAUGAGUUUCAAACCUAAACCUUUUAAGAUUCAGUACUUUAAUUACUGUCAUCCAAAAAUUAAAGAAUAUAAAUUAUUUAUUAAAAAUAAAAUAAAUAUGUUCUUAGACCAAAUGGGUUUUUUUUUGGAACAAUUUCCUUUCUUUUUUUAAAACAAUAUUUAGAACUAUUCAUAUCUCUCUCAACUCAUAAAUAGAAUGAUAAUGCGCUUCAACGCACUCAAAUUCACAUCUUCUUGCAUUGACAAUAAUACUCAUACUAAUUGAGUUUAUACUAGAGUUAAAAAUAGUAUAGUUGAGUAAUGUGCUCCAAAUGUAAUUGUAAAUAUUAAAAAUAAAAUACUAAAUUAAGGCAAGAAAAACAUUUUGUUGGGAAAAGUCGAAAAGGUAAUCUUAUAUCAUUGGAUUUAAGUCCUUUCCUUUCACCAUUGAUUUAUAAAACACCCAAUCAUCUUACACAAAGAACUUUCAAAUAUUACUAUGAGUUGAAGUUUUUGAUAUAUAUAUAUAUAUAUAUAUAUAUAUUUUUGAAUAAUUUCGUUAUAAGUUUUGAUCAUACCUGUUUUUUUAAGUAAUGUUUAAAACUAUUCAUAGUCUCUCCCCAAUCUAAAAAUAGAAGCGUAAUACGCUUCAGUGCAUUUAAACCCAUGCCCUUUUACAUUAACAAUAAUAUUCAUGCCAAUCAAGUUAAGACUCAAUCGUCUUAUCUUUAAAUUAUAUUUAAAAAUUUUAAAAAUAUCAUUUAUAAAAUAAAACUUUUCACUAUCCGUAUACUAAAUAAUUAUUUUUAAUGUAAUAUUACAAAAUUUCAUGGAGGGGAUAAGAAAAUGCCCCAUCAAUCCCCAAACUUAACUUUUAUUGUGAAAGUUUUUUCUUUCAAUCACAUGAAAGUCUCAUCUUUAUCUUAUGAACUAUCAUAUCUCAACCAAACCACUCCCAUAAAUAUUUAUAAUGGUGCCCCAUCUACAAUUAUUUCUAGCCCCACUUCCAUAAUAUAUAAACAAAACAAAUAUAAUUUCUUUUAUUAUCUUUUCAAAUAUUUAAUUAAUGUUUCUUUAUGUCAUUCUAAGAUUGAUGAUAUUACCUCAUGUUGAAUUACUUGAUGUCUAUGUUUGAAGGUAAAACUCGACGACGCUCAGUCUCCUAGCUUUGCUAAUAGCUUAACUCGGCCUUACUAAAAUAUCUUUUCACAAUAAGUGGGCCUACACAAUCCUUAAAAAAUAUAUGAGAAGAGUUUCUGUCAACAUCUAUCAAUCUAUCACCUUCUUAGGCGUAGUGACACUUCACCUAGUCUUCUUUCAUAAUCUCCUCAUAUAGACUUCUGUAGUGUUUCUAGCCGACAUCCACCGUUCUACCCCUUACACUUACGAGGUAGGGUGCUUGAUGGUUGGGACCCAAGCCAAGUUUGCCUCAUUCUAUAAAUACCAUCCUCUAACAUCAAUUCAGACACAAUAGAGGAAAAAGAGAACCUAACUACCUCAUUGACAACAUUUUGCUCAAACAUCAUCCUAGCCCAAACAAAAUGUUAUCUUUAGUGGUUCUCUAUACUACCCAUGAUGUGAAAUGUUAGUUUUGAUAUUCUAAACUUUUGAUAUAACAACAUUUAAGAUAUAUUUUAUUACUAAAUCGUUUAGUAUUUAAACAUUUUCAACUCCAACACUUUAUAAAACUUAAUUGUUAUACUCUCAGAAAGUUAUCACCAAGAGCAAGAUGACCAAGAUGUCACAUGUUAUCCGGACUAAGGUGAAUUCAUACAUCGGGAUUGAAAUGAUAUGGUAGAUGCUUACCAUCCCUCAUUUUCUUUUAUUAAAUUUAGGUAACAUCAUUUUGUUUGUUCAAUUGAUACUAAGUGUAUUUUUUUUAUAGUUCAAAAUGUCUCAAUAGAAAAUUUAAUAUAAAAUUUUUAAUGGUAUUAACAAUCAGACUUAAAUUUUAAAAUUAGAAAGAUAGAUAGCUUAAUCCUUUGGAAAUAAAAAUAAAUGUUUUAAAAGCAUGAAAAGUGUACAACUUAAAGCAUAUUUUAACUUGGAAAUUCAUAUAACUUAUUAACAAAUUUAAUGAAAUAUUAAAAAUUUUAAUUAUUUAUAUCUGUAUUUAUCCUAUAAUAAAAAUGGUAAUUGAGUUUGAGAUUUGAAAAAGGAAAUCAAAGAUAAAUCCUUUAUGAUAUAUUAAGGUAGGUGGGUUUGAAUGGGCGCGCGGUGUGUUGAUCUGCGAUUAGUGUAAAAACAACGGUGGCGAUGAGAGUAAAUACUGUAACGUGAGAUAAAAAGUAAGCUAAAUGCACUAUACCCGACUGCACCGCACCCCACCGCCCACCAAGCUUACCCUAAAUGUGGCAUUCACUAUACAACAUUGUUGAAAAGAAUAGUUAAGAAUCUUGAAUAUAAAUUAUAAAAAACGGAUAUGAAAAAUAUAAAAAAAAAUGGGAUUCAGCAUCAAAUAUUUAUUUUAGAAAAAGGAAAUUGAUUCAUGUUUGUUUUUAACUUGGGGCAUUCGUGUUGUUAGCACGAAGUAUCUAAAUAAUAGACCAUACACUGUUUCCUGCUAUGAAAACCUAAGAAAAAUACUAAUAUCUAUACCUUACUGUUAAAACGUUAGAGCCUAUUUAAAUGCAAAUUUGACAAGGAAGAAAAGACAUUGAAGUUAAAGCCUUGAAAAAAGUAUAGUUUGGGUGAGUCUAAUUUGAAGCAAUGAGGGGUCACGAACCACGUUCCACUUCUUCUUGUGCAGCUUGCAAGCUCUUGAAAAGGAGGUGCAGUCCCAACUGUAUCUUCGCACCCUAUUUCCGAUCCGACGAGGCGAAGAAAUUCGCCAAAGUCCACAAGGUUUUUGGUGCUAGCAAUGUAAGCAAGAUCUUGGUUGAAGUGCCUGAAGAACAGCGCGAAGACACGGUGAACUCCUUGGCGUAUGAGGCUGAGGCAAGGCUUAGAGACCCUGUCCAUGGUUGCAUUGGUGCCAUAGCUUUGUUGCAAAGGAAGAUGAUCCAACUGCAACACGAUUUAGCCCUUGCUAGAGCAUGUUUGGCUCGGUAUGUCGCAACUCCUUCCGUUAUCUUCAGUUCCGAUGAUCAUCAUCGGGUUAUCACCGGACCUUUCGAUGAUUUCCCGGUUGAUUGCGGAGUAUCUUUCGGCAGUUUUAACCAGAAUAUUUCAUAUGAAUUGAAUCAAGAAGCAAAUAUGUAUGAUUUUAGCCAAAUUCCAUAUAUAAAUAUUUUCUCUCUUCCUUGAAUCUGUUAUUCUAUGUCCUCAAUAUCAAAUCUUGAAUUAAUAUCGGAAAUCAGAAAGGGUUUGGUGUAAAUGGUAUAUUUAAAAGAGUGGGUAUAUUUGAAAGGACAAAGUGAAAUUGAAAGUGUAAGCCAAAAUCUCCAAAAUGUAGGGCAGAGUGGUGGCUUCAUUUCGGAUAACUCUCCUGCCAAAUCAAACAAGCAUCACAGGCUCUUGUUCACAAGCUUUGGCCUAUGAAUUAUUACUCUCAAGUCAUAUGAUAUCCCAUCCUAUCUUAAAAAAAAUAUAUUUUUUAAUUUUAAUACUGAUAUAUAUCAUUAUUGGUGUGUUUCGAGAUAUCGUUUUGAAUGUACUAAUAUUUUUCAAUAUUAUUUUCAUAUGUAGAAUAAUAUGUAUUAUUUUCUUGUACAUGCAAAUAAAAUUUUAGAGUUUAGGAUUGAAACUAGAAUUUGAUCCACAAGUUCACCUGUGCGGUAGUGUGUGGGUAUGUGAAUGAGUUUGAUAUUGUAUUGUAUAAAAAAAACCCAAAAUUUUUAAACAUUAUAUAAAUAAAAAAAAUACUUUAAAAUACGAUAAAUUAUUAUAUCAAGCUUAAUUAUGAUAAGCCAGGAAAGUAUUUGGGAUUCUAAGUUUUCCAAAACAAUGAUUGAUAAGUUGGAAAACAAGUUAGCAAGUUGGAAGCACAAUCCCUUGGGGUCAAGGGUGGGCAAACACUAAUUAACUCAAAGACUCUAGCUCAUAUGUGUAACCCAUGGCCUACUUUAAAGCUUUGGCCAACAUUUGCGGUAAGAUAGAUGGAAUAGUAGGAGAUUUCUAGUGGGGAUCAAAUUUAAGAAAGAGGAAGAUGUACUUGGAUAAAUAGAGUGAUAUUUGCUUACCCAAGGACAUGGGAGGGCUAGGUUUUAGACAAGCUCACCGAAUGAACGAAGCUUUAUUAGCAAGACAAGCCUUGCACAUCAGUACGAGGAGCUCAUGGUUGCUUCAUGAAACUAUGGUGAAGAAAUGUUGUGUUAAGAAGCCGUUGAUGUUAUUUAAGCCAAAACUAUAUGAAAAAACAUCCUAAAAAGUUGGUGAAUAAAUAGUGGCAAAGGAGAGUUACUACUAUUGAUGAACGAUGUCUUCUUGAUAUAGAGAAUUAUGACCAUAUAUUCUUGAAAUGUUAAUUUGCGAGAGAAUUUUGAUUUGGAUUUGAGUAUGGUUUAAGAAUUUUCGAAUUGGAUUUAUCCAAUAUUACAGAGUAGAUCAAAGAAUGAAUCGUAUGUAAACGUUCAAAUGAAAUUGAAUGAGAAAUGGUGAUUGUUUUGACUCCUACAUUUUUUGGUGCUAUAGGAAUAGUCUUUUAAAAUGUACUCAUGAAAAACAAAUGCUCGAGACAAAAAGGAAGAACAAUUAAAAAUAGUACAAACGAACUAAGAAUUAAUACAAUUCAAUCUAAAGCACAUAAUUACACAUAAUAAAUUGAAUUAAAACUCAUAUAUAACAAUUGCAUGAAAAUCGAUACAUAUAAUUACACGUUAUAAGUAUUAAAACUUUAUUUGCUUUUGACAUUAAACCAUCAUUUAUAACACAUACCCCUUCCCUGAAAAAAACUAGAGUGGUAGAUAAACAAGAUUUCAUUACUACAACUAGAGAAACAACUAAUUUAUGUACAAUAAGAUGCAUGUUAUCCCCAUUAAACCAGCAAUUUCACUUCAUCUUUGUGGUUGGAUCAUUAGAUGGAUACAUCAUAGUUAGUUGAAACAAAAGAAGAUAUUAUAGUCACAUGGAUUAUCAGACUCAGCUUCUAUUCUCAGAUUUCUGUUUCUUCCCUGUAUUUAAUGCAUGCAAAGGAGAACUUAUAAUACGAGUCAGAUUUAUUUUAUUUUAAAGAGUAAAUUAGUCAUUUAUGUUAAAAAUUCAUCUACAUAUACGGUUAAAAAUUAGAGUGACUAAUAAAAUAAUCAAGUAGUGACAUGUAAUAAGUAACGUGCGAAAUUAAUUAAUUUUCAAAAGUAGAAAUGAAUAAUUUUUUUAACAAAAAAAAUUACCAAACCACCGUCGUAUUUUUACCUAGUCAAACCAUCUAUAAACCAUCAAAAGCACUGAUCCUAUUUCAUUGAUCAUCAAAAUUCAAUUUUUAGUCAAAGGAAGUAAAAUUUAAACAUGGGUAUAGUAAAUGAAGCAAAUUUAUAAGAGCUGAGCAAUUGAAAUGCUUUUCCCGCUUUGAUUUCUCCAUUUCCAACUGAGCACCCACAAGCAUCUUCAUUCUUUGAAACUCCACAUCUUUAGUGAACUCAAUUCUCUGUUUCUCGAGUUCCAUCAUUUGAUGUUGCUUCCAGCUCUUGAUUCUCUCAUAGAUCUCUCUGAAUUUCAAAAUCGAUCUCGCUAAUUCACUAAAACUAGCUUCAUUGGAUAAUCCAACACCCUCCAACCGCCGAUGACUCUCCGUCGACUUUACCCCCGAUUUCGAUUUGGAUUUGAGCAUGAAAGUAAAGCCGGUAAGCUUUUUAUCACCACCGAUGAGAGAAUCCAUGCGAUUAAAAACCGGCCAUCUCAAAGGUGGCGGUUUAGUUCUUUCCACCUCGUAUUUUUUCUUCAAGGUGUCGAUCCAGUUCUUGCACUAGACAUCGGUUUUCUUAGGCUUAACGCCGUUUUGACAGGAGUUAACCGUGUCAGCAACUUCUUGCAAGUCAUUUCGACGGAGUUUACCUCUGUUAAGUCUUGAAAAAAGUCACCCCAUGCCUUGAUAAACGUAGCCGUGGCUCCCGGCCGCCACCAACAGAGGAGUGGGUGUUGUGAGAGUUUAUGGUAAGAAGCAGUUAAGGUUUUUGGGGGGUGAGAUGGAGGGUGGAUGAAGAUAAAAGAGGAAGAGGAAUGAAUUGAGGAGAAGCACAGCAGAGGAUCGGCCGUGCAUUUUCUUUAGGUGAUCGGCGGUGACGUUAACUCUCCCUUGUUGGGGUUAGAGUUGGGACGUGAUGGAAUGGGGUGUUGUAUAUUAUCUCAAUCGUACGUCCAUGUUAUUAUCCUAUGGCAUUCCUCUGCUCUUCAAGUGAAUUUCUUAGAAUUUGUAAUUUCGAACAAAAUUUUCCUUUUUUUAGCAAGAACAAAUUUUUAAAAUUUAAUUUUAAAUUCAUUUAUUUGAAAUUUUACAUAAUAACAUAUAUAUUAUUCAAUGCUUAAAUAAAGCUUAAUCAUUCAAACCCUAAAGUAAAGAUAACACACACUUAAGCAUGUUCGAACUCUCUUUUCGAAUAGGGAAUGACCCCUAUAUCAAUAUGAAGUAAAGAUGAAAACUAGCUACAAUUACUAGUAUUUAUUAGUAAAAUUAAAUUUUUUUUUAGUUUUUUUCACUAAUUCAGAAUGAAUAUGAACAAAUAGUUGUUCAAGUUCAAAUGAAUUUGGACAACUUUUUAUUCCGAUUCCUCCUGUAUGCGCAUUUUUAUUAUUUUCUUUAAUGUUUCCAUUCCCCACACUAGUGCAGUUAACAAUCAAAUCGAUGAACUUACGGUUAUCAUUAACGAAAGGGCACAAGUAUGCAUACAGCAAUGACCCCUACAACAUUCAACUCAAUUGAUUGAUUGAAUGGAUGAAAAUCAUUAAUCAUCCAACCAAGCAAAAGGCUAAGGCAAAGAAUAGAUGCAAAGUCCCUCAAAACAUUUUCAUCAUUUUACAAAACUAAUUACAUUCCAUUGGGGGCAAGAAACUGAUUUGGUUGUUUCUCGAGGUCAUUUGAAUUCAUCCCAAGCAAAUCCACUAAUCGACCUUUUCUUCAUCAAUCCCUCUUUAGGCAUAAAUAAAUAUAGGUGCUCAAUUGAUUCUAGGCUUUUCCUAUCAAAAGAAUAUGACAUUUUCUGAACCAUACCCCAAAAACACCAUAAGCAUUGUGAAACAAAGAGAAAAUAAACUAUAUUUGCAGCACUUAACAAAGACACCCAUCACAAAGCUAACAUCAAAAAAGAUAAGCAUUUAGUUCUAAAAAGAAAACAUUGUUCAUGUAGAUGAAAAAAGGGUUCAACAAAAAUACAAAACUAAACCAUAAAAAUUAUAAAGAUAAAUCUCAAAUCCUUUAACAAAAAAGAAAGUACCCAUCAAGCAACAUUAGGCUACUUAGAUCUUUGUCUCAUCUUUCUUCUCUUCCUCUUCAAACGCCUCAUACGCUUCUUCUUCCACUGUAAUUACCAAAAGAGAAAAAUAAAUAAAUAUAACCAUCAGUUUUUCAAUGAGAAAGAAUCAAUGAAAAGAACAGAGAGAUGUGUAGAUUCUUUUUACCUUAGCUCUCAUGGUGAAAAGGGUUCGAAAUUCGUUUCCUUUUGCAGUCUCAGGAUCGGGUAUCUUCUAGAGAGCACGCGGCGAGAAUUGAAGGAAGAACACUUUCAUUUGAGAUCAUAUAUAUCGAAUAGCUAAACCCUAGAAGCCUCAAUAGUGCGGUUUGGUAAGUGUUGGGGAAUUGGGCUCUGAUAUUAUAUUGGGUUAAUGGAAUCUAA